rnacentral:rRNA from 1 species
UACGUAGGGUGCAAGCGUUGUCCGGAAUUAUUGGGCGUAAAGAGCUCGUAGGCGGUCUGUUGCGUCGGCUGUGAAAACCCGGGGCUCAACCCCGGGCCUGCAGCCGAUACGGGCAGACUAGAGUUCGGCAGGGGAGACUGGAAUUCCUGGUGUAGCGGUGAAAUGCGCAGAUAUCAGGAGGAACACCAAUUGCGAAGGCAGCUCGCUGGAACGUAACUGACGCUGAGACGCGAAAGCGUGGGGAGCAAACAGG